rnacentral:rRNA from 1 species
GGGCUCACACAAGCGGUGGAGGAUGUGGCUUAAUUCGAGGCUACGCGAAGAACCUUACCUAGACUUAACAUGCUUAGGAACUCCUGUGAAAGCAGGAGGUGCCCUUCGGGGAGCCUUUGCAUAGGUGCUGCAUGGCUGUCGUCAGCUCGUGUCGUGAGAUGUCGGGUUAAGUCCCUUAACGAGCGAAACCCUUAUCUCUAGUUGCCAGCGGGUAGUGCCGGGGACUCUAGAGAGACUGCCGGUGUUAAACCGGAGGAAGGUGGGGAUGACGUCAAGUCCUCAUGGCCUUUAUGUCUAGGGCUGCACACGUCCUACAAUGCGGCGGAUAAAGGGAUGCGAACUCGCGAGAGCAAGCAAAUCCCAAAACCGUCGCUCAGUUCGGAUUGCAGGCUGAAAUUCGCCUGCAUGAAGCCGGAAUCGCUAGUAAUCG